UACGUAGGGUCCGAGCGUUGUCCGGAAUUAUUGGGCGUAAAGGGCUCGUAGGCGGCCCACUAAGUCCGACGUGAAAUCCCCAGGCUUAACUUGGGAACUGCGUCGGAUACUGGUGGGCUUGAAUCCGGGAGAGGGAUGCGGAAUUCCAGGUGUAGCGGUGAAAUGCGUAGAUAUCUGGAGGAACACCGGUGGCGAAGGCGGCAUCCUGGACCGGCAUUGACGCUGAGUGAGCGAAAGCCAGGGGAGCAAACGGG
rnacentral:rRNA from 1 species